rnacentral:rRNA from 1 species
AAAUUGAAGAGUUUGAUCAUGGCUCAGAUUGAACGCUGGCGGCAGGCCUAACACAUGCAAGUCGAACGGUAGCACAGAGAGCUUGCUCUCGGGUGACGAGUGGCGGACGGGUGAGUAAUGUCUGGGAAACUGCCCGAUGGAGGGGGAUAACUACUGGAAACGGUAGCUAAUACCGCAUAAUGUCGCAAGACCAAAGAGGGGGACCUUCGGGCCUCUUGCCAUCGGAUGUGCCCAGAUGGGAUUAGCUGGUAGGUGAGGUAACGGCUCACCUAGGCGACGAUCCCUAGCUGGUCUGAGAGGAUGACCAGCCACACUGGAACUGAGA